UCCCUAUAAAACCAGCUUCAACACUUUUUUUAUUCUCCAUGCUAGAUCGCAACUUCAUCUAUUGCAUCCAAGUUUUACCUGUUGUAUAUAAAGAAGAGUCCAGAAGGUGAAGGUGACAUCACUAGCGUCAGAAUGAGGGUUCUGGCAAUUGCAUUAAUGUUGAUGGUGGCAUGCUGCUGUUUUAUGGCUGGGAAUAGUUGGAACAUAGAGGCCCAAAUGCAUGGAAAAACCAACCAACUUAGUUACCACAAUAAUCACCAUGGCAAAACCUCUGCCAGAGCCUACUCUCACGUCACUCAUGGUAAUGAUCAUCAUUACAUCCCUCCCAAAGAUUUUGUUAAACCUGCGUCUGUCCAAUAUCAUGUCAAUGACGAUAGUGAUAAUCACUACACUUCUAAUAUGGAUAAUUAUGGCAAACCUGGGGGACUAAUUAAAACGCAUGGUUAAUGGCAUGCUUCUUCUUCCCUCACAACAACCAUCACACAUGCAACUUUGUGGAGAGGAAUUCAUAUAUAUAUAUAUAUGGCUGCUGCUAGACAUAGAUGAAGAUCAUAUAUAUGUGUAACUUUGUGUUUGUGAGUAAUGUUUGAUAAAUAAAUCAGUUACUGCUAGACAUGUCUGUGUGUGAAAGUAGAUUACGAGAAAUUCCUGGCUGUUCCUUUCACAGAUACAAGAAUUUCUGAGUACUCGUAGAACUGAGUGUGUAUCUCAGUACCUGUGUGUUGUGUCCCCUUCGAUCAGUGUGUACCUAUAAAGGAGUGCAGUAGUAAUUAUGAUCAUCGUUUUCUGUUCAUAAAUAAAGAUAUUACACGCUUUGUUUGCU